ensembl:lncRNA
CGCUAGGGAGAGCAAACGAUCCUAAUGGGCAGUGCGUGCACAGAGAUGAUUGGGUUUUUUGUUUUCGAGACAAAUUGGUAAGCUGGAGGUGUUCGCUCUAGUUAAUAAAUAAAGUUAAAAUGCACAGAAAUGGGAUUGGGAUUGGAUUGAAAGGCAGGAGAUUGGGAUUGGAUUGGAAAGCAGGAAAAUGAGAUUGGGAUUGGACUGGAAGGCAGGAAAAUGUGAUUGGGAUUGGAUUGAAAGGCAGGAAAAUGGGAUUGGGAUUGGACUGAAAUGCAGGAAAAUGGGAUUGGGAUUGGAUUGAAAGGCAGGAAAUUGGGAUUGGACUGGAAUGCAGGAAAAUGGGAUUGGGAUUAGAUUGAAAGGCAGGAAAAUGGGAUUGGGAUUGGACUGGAAUGCAGGAAAAUGUGAUUGGGAUUGGAUUGAAAGGCAGGAAAUUGGGAUUGGACUGGAAUGCAGGAAAAUGGGAUUGGGAUUAGAUCGAAAGGCAGGACAUUGGGAUUGGACUGGAAGGCAGGAAAACGGAAAACCAUACGUAUUGGAGCCAUGGUGUUUAUAUAAUCUAAGUAAAAAAUGGAAGAAGUCAAACAUAUGUUUAUAGAAAAUUAGAGUACAAGUUUGAGGUUUUAGGAAGACGAAGAUUUCUGUGUGUGUGUGUGUGUGUGUGUGUGUGUGUGUGUGUGUGUGUGUGUGUGUGCUGUCAUUUUCAUUUAUUUAUUCUCCAGUUUCAGGAUCUUUUGAAGCUUGAAACCUAACUCAUUUUGCUGUAACCUAAAGCUUGCACACGAGCCCAUCAUCUCGCUGAAAAUCUUCCUUCACUAUAACAGGAGAAACCACAACAAAAACAAAUAGCAGAGAGGACAGCUAAGGUUUCUGUGCUGACCCAUAUUCAGUGGAUCCCACAAAUAUGAGCCUAUACAGCUUUCCCAAUCAAAGACAAUGAAGCGUU